rnacentral:rRNA from 1 species
GACGAACGCUGGCGGCGUGCUUAACACAUGCAAAUCGAACGGUAAGGCCCUUCGGGGUACACGAGUGGCGAACGGGUGAGUAACACGUGGGUGAUCUGCCCUGCACUUCGGGAUAAGCCUGGGAAACUGGGUCUAAUACCGGAUAGGACCCUGGGAUGCAUGUCCUGGGGUGGAAAGCUUUUGCGGUGUGGGAUGGGCCCGCGGCCUAUCAGCUUGUUGGUGGGGUGAUGGCCUACCAAGGCGACGACGGGUAGCCGGCCUGAGAGGGUGACCGGCCACACUGGGAAGGAGAUACGGCCCAGACUCCUACGGGAGGCAGCAGUGGGGAAUAUUGCACAAUGGGCGCAAGCCUGAUGCAGCGACGCCGCGUGAGGGAUGACGGCCUUCGGGUUGUAAACCUCUUUCAGCACCGACGAAGCGCAAGUGACGGUAGGUGCAGAAGAAGGACCGGCCAACUACGUGCCAGCCGCCGCAGUAA